CUCCCUCCUAGGUGAAGGAAGACGAUACCCCCCCAUCUUCAGUGCCCCCUGCCUUCGCCGCCCAAAACAGACUCCGCCGGCUCCUGCCAGUGCGAUACCAGUGUUUGGAUCCAAGGGAAUUCCGAAACCCAAACGGCUGUCGGGAAGAAGGUCGGCGUCUUAAGUUGCCACUAGGCGGUCAGCCGGUGGGCUGCGCGCAUGCGUUCCACACCUGCUUUCAAAGUCGAGCAAGGCGGGGCCUGAAGCUGUUUUUAGAAACCUUUUGGUGGAUGGGCUCGCUCGGAGCACUUCAAGGUUUAUGAAACCUCUCGGCUCAUCCAUUGCUAUUAUCAUAACCUAAGGAACGUGAGCAUCGUCAUCCCUUCAGUCCCCACACACUCUGUAGCCCGAACACGCGACCGCUUCAGUUAAUGAAUAUUGCAGAGCGGGUAAUAAGCACACCUGAGUGAUUCUUGCCCCCUGCUGGCUGCGCGUUCCAUUCACUUCCUGCUGAAAGCCGCCUGAGUAGUUGGAACAGUUGGAAGUUAGUGUGCACUUCUUAAAGAAUGUGGAGGCUGGGCGCGACGGCCCACCCCUGUAAUCCUAGCACUCCGGGAGGCCAAGACAGGUGGAUUGCUGGAAGUCAGGAGUUCCAGACCAGACUGACCAAGAGCGAGACCCGGCUAUAAAAAACGAGCUGGGCGUUGUGGUGGGUGCCUGUAGCCCCAGCUUCUCGGGUGGCUGACACAAGAGGAUCCCUUGAGCCCAGGAGUUGGAGCUUGCUGUGAGGUAUGAUACCACAGCGCUCUACCCAGGGCUACAUAGCGAGACUGACUCAAAAAGAAAGUAUAUUGGGGGGAAGAUGGGGAGGGGGCUGUUUAAAGUAAGCACAGCAAGAAUGUAAGAAUUAUGAAUCUUCCAACUAGGCAUCUGUAUGCAUAAGUAUGUAUCGUGUGUAUACAUACAUAAAUAUUUUA